GAUGAACGCUGGCGGCGUGCCUAAUACAUGCAAGUCGAGCGAACAGACGAUGAGCUUGCUCCUCUGACGGUAGCGGCGGACGGGUGAGUAACACGUGGAUAACCUACCUAUAAGACGGGGAUAACUUCGGGAAACCGGAUCUAAUACCGGAUAAUAUAUUGAACCGCAUGGUUCAAUAGUUAAAGACGGUUUUGCUGUCACUUAUAGAUGGAUCCGCGCCGCAUUAGCUAGUUGGUAAGGUAACGGCUUACCAAGGCAACGAUGCGUAGCCGACCUGAGAGGAUGAUCGGCCACACUGGAACUGAGACACGGUCCAGACUCCUACGGGAGGCAGCAGUGGGGAAGAUUGGACAAUGGGCGCAAGCCUGACCCAGCAAUACCGCGUGAGUGAAGAAGGCCUUCGGGUUGUAAAGCCCUUUUGUUGGAAAAGAAAAGCAGCAGGUUAAUAACCCGCUGUUCUGACGGUACCCAAAGAAUAAGCACCGGCUAACUUCGUG
rnacentral:rRNA from 1 species